CUGUCAAAUGGAAUCUGUAAUAAUCUAUACAAAAAACACUUGGAUGGGAGAGAAAAACUUAAAUAAUAUGAAACUGGCAAACGGAAGCUGGAACGGCAACAAACAUCCGAUUAAAUUAUGCUCAAAGUCAAAAGCGCAGACAGAACUGGCCAACAAACCACUUUUGGCCAAGUUGGAAUGGGGUCUGGUUGCAUGAAAUAAGAAAACUUUUCGGCACACUCUAUCUCCAUUGGCCCCUUCUGCAGUCUGCAUUCUCCGCUUCGCUCCAAAAAUAAAUCAAAUAAUUCAAUUUU
ensembl:ncRNA lncRNA:CR45285 long non-coding RNA:CR45285